UCCCAUAUGGUCUAGUGGUUAGGAUUCGGCGCUUUCACCGCCAAGGCCCGGGUUCAAUUCCCGGUGGGAGAA
rnacentral:tRNA from 1 species